AACGAACGCUGGCGGCAGGCUUAACACAUGCAAGUCGAGCGCCCCGCAAGGAGAGCGGCAGACGGGUGAGUAACACGUGGGAAUCUACCCAUCCCUAGGGGAUAACACAGAGAAAUUUGUGCUAAUAACCUAUACGUCCUUCGGGAGAAAGAUUUAUCGGGGAUGGAUGAGCCCGCGUUGGAUUAGCUAGUUGGUGGGGCAAUGGCCUACCAAGGCGACGAUCCAUAGCUGGUCUGAGAGGAUGAUCAGCCACACUGGGACUGAGACACGGCCCAGACUCCUACGGGAGGCAGCAGUGGGGAAUAUUGGACAAUGGGCGCAAGCCUGAUCCAGCCAUGCCGCGUGAGUGAUGACGGCCUUAGGGUUGUAAAGCUCUUUCACCCACGAUAAUGACGGUAGUGGGAGAAGAAGCCUCGGCUAACUUCGUGCCAGCCGCCGCAGUAAGAC
rnacentral:rRNA from 1 species